rnacentral:lncRNA from 1 species
GUCACAGUCUCCAGGGCACCAAUCCCACAGAAGUCCUAUGUUGUGGCUUUAGAUGACCAGGCACAGCAUGGCUUUCUGACUGGGCUUCCGGGCCUCACCUUGGGCUGGCAGGCACAGGUAGGGGCUGGCAAGGCAGUGGGGGAGGAGAAGGGCAUACCCAUAGCCCCAGAAAAGAAGACAGCGGCUCUCAUUUCAAGAGGUGACGGAGUUCGCCUCCCCACUUGUUUGGCUUUCAGAGAAGACCUCCUUGCUGCUGUCCCUGGAGGACCCACCCUGACGAAUGAGGUUCCUGCCCCCUCCAGAGGCCACCCAGACCUGACCUUCUCAGCCCGACAGUGGACGUGGCAACCAGGGGACAUUUCCUUGGAAGAAAAGAAGACCAUAUCCUGCAGAUGCUUCCAGGAGACAGCAGAGGCUACAGAGGUAAUGAUGAUUUUGGAUAAGCCAUCCCAGCCUCAAUUUCCUCAUCUGACAAAUGGGACCACCCAUACCUACUGUAUAGGUAGUCAAGAGGAUUGAAUGAGGUAAUGCAUGUGACAUACUUAGAGCAAUGCCAAGGUCACAGGGAACACCUGACAAAUGGGAGAUCCCUCUGCUCCUACCCGCUUUCCCUUCUUUCCUGGUCUCUGUCAGUUGGUCCACAUUCCUGGCAUCUGGGAGAGCAGCCUGGCAUGGCACCCUACCUACCGCUGACCCUGACCCAGCACCGAUGUGGUUGGUGUCUGUGGAAUGAGAGCCAGCUGAGCGGCUCCCUGGCUGUUUGACCUUGUGCAGCUCAUUUAUCCUCUCUGGGCCUCAGUCUGGGCUGCCAGGGUGGGUGGACUGGGGUCAGGGGGUGCUGACUGGACCAUCACUGGUGGGGGAUCCCCCCGUAC